rnacentral:rRNA from 1 species
CCUACGGGUGGCAGCAGUAGGGAAUCUUUCACAAUGGGCGAAAGCCUGAUGGAGCAACGCCGCGUGCGGGAUGGAGGCCUUCGGGUUGUAAACUGCUUUUGUAAGCGGGCAAUGUGCUGGUUACUUCUGACUCAGGAUCGGCUAACUACGAGCCAGCGGCCGCGGUCGUACGUAGGAUCCGGGCAUUAUCCGGAGUGACUGGGUGCAAAGAGUUGAUUAGGUGGCAUAGUAAGGAGCGAGUUAAAUCGGGUGGCUCAACCAUUCAGACUAUUAGCUGAACUGGUAAGCUCGAGACCGUUAGGGGUAACUGGAAUUCCCAGUGUAGGAGUGAAAUCUGUAGAUAUUAGAAGGAACACCGAUAGCGUAGGCAGGUUACUGGGACGGUUCUGACACUAAGGCACGAAAGCGUAGGGAGCAAACGGGAUUAGAUACCCUGGUAGUC